rnacentral:rRNA from 1 species
UCGGGAAUUUUGGGCAAUGGGCGAAAGCCUGACCCAGCAACGCCGCGUGAAGGAUGAAGUAUUUCGGUAUGUAAACUUCGAAAGAAUAGGAAGAAUAAAUGACGGUACUAUUUAUAAGGUCCGGCUAACUACGUGCCAGCAGCCGCGGUAAUACGUAGGGACCAAGCGUUGUUCGGAUUUACUGGGCGUAAAGGGCGCGUAGGCGGCUUGACAAGUCACUUGUGAAAUCUCUGGGCUUAACCCAGAACGGCCAAGUGAAACUGUCAUGCUAGAGUGCAGAAGGGGCAAUCGGAAUUCUUGGUGUAGCGGUGAAAUGCGUAGAUAUCAAGAGGAACACCUGAGGUGAAGACGGGUUGCUGGGCUGACACUGACGCUGAGGCGCGAAAGCCAGGGGAGCAAACAGGAUUAGAUACCCUCGUAGUCCCUGAGCGGGCUGGCAAGGCGCAU